GGAAGAAUCAAUAGAGCUGUUUGGGGGCCUCUAAAUAAGACCAUUAUAAGUGCAGGAGAAGAUGCUGUUAUUCGCAUUUGGGAUUCUGAGACAGGUAAACUUUUGAAAGAAUCAGACAAGGAGACAGGCCAUAAGAAAACAAUAACUUCCCUUAUGAAAUCUUCUGAUGGUUCACAUUUUAUUACUGGUUCUUUGGAUAAGUCUGCAAAGCUGUG
rnacentral:misc_RNA from 1 species